rnacentral:rRNA from 1 species
UACGAAGGGGGCUAGCGUUGCUCGGAAUCACUGGGCGUAAAGCGCACGUAGGCGGCUUUUUAAGUCAGGGGUGAAAUCCUGGAGCUCAACUCCAGAACUGCCUUUGAUACUGAGAAGCUUGAGUCCGGGAGAGGUGAGUGGAACUGCGAGUGUAGAGGUGAAAUUCGUAGAUAUUCGCAAGAACACCAGUGGCGAAGGCGGCUCACUGGCCCGGUACUGACGCUGAUACGCGAAAGCGUGGGGAGCAAACAGG